GAUGAACGCUGGCGGCGUGCCUAAUACAUGCAAGUCGAGCGAACGGACGAGAAGCUUGCUUCUCUGAUGUUAGCGGCGGACGGGUGAGUAACACGUGGAUAACCUACCUAUAAGACUGGGAUAACUUCGGGAAACCGGAGCUAAUACCGGAUAAUAUUUUGAACCGCAUGGUUCAAAAGUGAAAGACGGUCUUGCUGUCACUUAUAGAUGGAUCCGCGCUGCAUUAGCUAGUUGGUAAGGUAACGGCUUACCAAGGCAACGAUGCAUAGCCGACCUGAGAGGGUGAUCGGCCACACUGGAACUGAGACACGGUCCAGACUCCUACGGGAGGCAGCAGUAGGGAAUCUUCCGCAAUGGGCGAAAGCCUGACGGAGCAACGCCGCGUGAGUGAUGAAGGUCUUCGGAUCGUAAAACUCUGUUAUUAGGGAAGAACAUAUGUGUAAGUAACUGUGCACAUCUUGACGGUACCUAAUCAGAAAGCCACGGCUAACUACGUGCCAACAGCCGCGGUAAUACGUAGGUGGCAAGCGUUAUCCGGAAUUAUUGGGCGUAAAGCGCGCGUAGGCGGUUUUUUAGUCUGAUGUGAAAGCCCACGGCUCAACCGUGGAGGGUCAUUGGAAACUGGAAAACUUGAGUGCAGAAGAGGAAAGUGGAAUUCCAUGUGUAGCGGUGAAAUGCGCAGAGAUAUGGAGGAACACCAGUGGCGAAGGCGACUUUCUGGUCUGUAACUGACGCUGAUGUGCGAAAGCGUGGGGAUCAAACAGGAUUAGAUACCCUGGUAGUCCACGCCGUAAACGAUGAGUGCUAAGUGUUAGGGGGUUUCCGCCCCUUAGUGCUGCAGCUAACGCAUUAAGCACUCCGCCUGGGGAGUACGACCGCAAGGUUGAAACUCAAAGGAAUUGACGGGGACCCGCACAAGCGGUGGAGCAUGUGGUUUAAUUCGAAGCAACGCGAAGAACCUUACCAAAUCUUGACAUCCUUUGACGACUCUAGAGAUAGAGCCUUCCCCUUCGGGGGACAAAGUGACAGGUGGUGCAUGGUUGUCGUCAGCUCGUGUCGUGAGAUGUUGGGUUAAGUCCCGCAACGAGCGCAACCCUUAAGCUUAGUUGCCAUCAUUAAGUUGGGCACUCUAAGUUGACUGCCGGUGACAAACCGGAGGAAGGUGGGGAUGACGUCAAAUCAUCAUGCCCCUUAUGAUUUGGGCUACACACGUGCUACAAUGGACAAUACAAAGGGCAGCGAAACCGCGAGGUCAAGCAAAUCCCAUAAAGUUGUUCUCAGUUCGGAUUGUAGUCUGCAACUCGGCUACAUGAAGCUGGAAUCGCUAGUAAUCGUAGAUCAGCAUGCUACGGUGAAUACGUUCCCGGGUCU
rnacentral:rRNA from 1 species